AGUGCAGGUCUGUUCCUGAUGACCGGCUGACAAGUAGCCUUGCUAACUUUCAACAGCGUGUGCAUUCAAAAACUCAUCAAAACAAAGUUCAGAGUCGGUUUUCCCGAGGCACAUGAGGCCAAAUGGGGAUGCUAAUAGAAGCAGCCGCCCAUCAGUGGACCCUGUCUGUGGUCAAUCCCAGAGUCGAGGUGGGACGAUGGUAGCGACACAGGAUACGAGUGAGAUAAUCAAACACACGCCGGAAUGUUUCAGAGGGAAGAAAUUGUUUAGAAACCCGAAGGCUUUUGAUUUUUCCCAGACGACAACCACUGGAUCAGCUAAUGUGAUGAUCAC
rnacentral:lncRNA from 1 species